AUGCUGGGAGGGAAGCAGCCCACCCUGGCCCCGGUGAGGCUCAGUCCUAAGCAAGAGCCAGCACUUCCCGCAGUGGUGCUGGGGGAAGAGACCGACUCCAACAGGCCAGACCUGGACUCACUGGAGGAAACGGCUGGUUCAGGGACAGCCACAUCCACGAUGGUGAGGCUCUUGGAGAGACGCCUGGAUGCAAUGACACAGAGACAGCCUGGCAGGCUGAAACUCUUCCCAGCUGUGAGCUCAGCAUCGCCCCAAACCAGCCAACCUACCAAGAAAAUCCAGGACUUGGCCGAGCCACCACUGAUGCUGAGGGGACCACCUCGGUCCCCAGAGCCCUGGGGAGCUGAGCUGCGAGGGCACACGUGUUGGUGAUUGGGAAGUGACAGUCCUCUGCCAGCAGCCACUGGAUGGUGCCACAAGACCAGAAACGGGCAGCAACCGCUCUGCAGCCUUCCCAUGGCUGCUCCCGGGCUCUGGCUGCCCCUCUUUUUUGGAAGAUCCCAACAUUGGGCCUCUCCCAGACAGCACAAGGGUGUUGGGUCCUCCCUGGCCAGCCGCUGUGAACUGCACCACCGAGGAUAAAUGCUCAUGGUCCGAAAAGAAGUGAUUUCUGCUCUCCCUCCGUCAUGCACACGAGCAGUAACACAAUGUCCGAUGGUACCAUGAGCUUUUGGAGCCCAAGCAGCUCUCCCUGGACUUUGCAUCCCACAGGCUGGGUCCAGCUCUGUACCAGACAGAGUCUGGCACUUGUGUGUGGCUUUUUUAUUCUUUAAGAAGUCCAGAAAACAAAGUCACGGAGGAGAGAAAGCAGCUUUCCUUCUUGUUGUAUCUCUUUGCCGGUGCUCCCGAGGGUAAUGGAAAAGGUCUCGUUUUCUGCUCCAGGAGGAACCUGCUCUGAAUGCACUUGGACAAAGUAACAGACCACAGCUUCUGUCUCCCUCCUUGCCUCCUUGAAUCAGUGGAAACUCCAGCCCAAAGAAUGAUUUUUUGCACUGUAAACAUGACCACAUAAGCCUGACUCUGCAGAUAUUGCUUAUCUGUGUAAAUUAAGUUCACUUUCCUAAUUCUCUCUGUAUUUUGUACAUUUGCAGCAGUGCAUUUAUGAUCUUGAUCCCUUAAAAGCAUGAAAUUUUGGAAAAUGCAACAGGAAAACCUGUCAGUUCUUAAUUUCAGGGUUUUUUUCCAACCACUCCAUCACUGGUUCAAACUUCUACAAUUCCUUAUUUCUAAAAUUUACAUGUGGG
rnacentral:lncRNA from 1 species